AUACUUACCUUAAGAUGUCAGAGGAGAUCAAGAAGUCCUUCUGACCAGGCAUCGUUUUUUUCCAAUUUAGAGGGAAGUUAUGCAUUUCCUGCAUUGGAAGUUCUCUGAUCUUUUGGGAUAAGAAAACUUCUUUUUGCUCCAAUUGAUGUAAACUCCCUGGUCACUUGCACAUACUUGCGGAAAGGUGUCUGCUGACGUUUCGUUCCCUAAUUCCAAUAAGUGGGUUAAUUUCUUUGUUUUUUCUUAAUUGCAAAAGCUUGGAUUUUUAUCUGCUUUUGGAGUCCUGUGUUCAUUCUGCCUGGAGAAUUAUGGCACCAGGUAUUAUAACUGGUGCUUGGGGAGCUGGUUACUGUAUGGUAUUCAGAUUCGAGGGCAUUUUGUCCUAAUUGGGAUUCCAGUUUAAGUAAUCAUAGUUGCUUUGAGGAAGCCAAGGUGUUAUGACUGGUUCUUCUUAACAUUGGGUGAUGACUAUUGCUCUUUUGAGUAGUAUGAAUUUAUCUGAAGUGGAGGUUCUGGUAAUAGCAUAAAGAUGCUGAUAGUCCUUAUUACCCAAUAUUCUCAUGGAGGCCACUGAUUCUAGGUUUUCAAUCUAUGAAGGUUGAGUGGUUGUGAGAUAGUGGGUUUGGUCUGCCACUCUUGAACUUGGAUGCCUCUUUUCAGCACUAUGGCACCUUUACUAGAUGACAUGGAAUGGGAUUUAUCUCUUUUCAUGGAGUUUGGUAUGGGUAAGUUACUUCUGUGAAUUUCUGAGUCUUCUUGGCUUUUUUUUAGGAAGAGCCGAGAGCUAUACAGGUAUUGGUAGAAACGGGUGGGUCUUAUAAUUUUUGAUUCUCUUU
rnacentral:snRNA from 1 species